UCUGUUAUUAUCAGCCCAGAAUGGAAGCAAAAGACCUUUGGAUUGCGCUCAUCGCCAGGGAUGUUGUACAACCAGCCGAGUGCAUUGGUAGGUCGGACAGAUGUUGCUUCUGUGACUUCAUGGUCAGCUCCAAUUAUUUGGGAGGGAACCUUUGACUCCACACUGAUCGACUC